CCAAAAUUACGAUACUGAAAACGCAUGCUUGCCUGCUACCAAACUGAGGACCUAUAUACACUUUUUUUUCAUCGCAUUAUUCCCCAAGCUCCUCUUCUGUACACCUUGACAUAUCUGCGUUUGUCUCAAUCUGGGUAGGGUAGCCUAUAAUUCUGAGCACAUUCAAGAUUGAGAAAUUGUAGGUGUAUAUGUGAAUAUGAUAUGCUGUGAACAGAACUUGUAUACCCAUAUAGGGAGGCAUAAAUUUACAUACAAGAGCUGUUGAUACUGUCUUUUACUAGAUACAGGAAAAAGCAUUGCUCAAACUGAAGCAUCUAGGAAAUCAUGAAAAUUUCAUCAGGGAACUUUUUCAGAAUGGAUACAAGUCAGGUGAAGAGACCAGAAUGGUCAGCAAUCUGAUAAUUAGAAAACUUACCUGAGAGUAUUUGAAGUACUGAUUAGAAUCUAACCCUGCAGAGUACAAGAAUGUGGCUGAACAAAGAGGCAGUAGCUAUUCUGAGGUGGUUUUCUUUCUCAAAAACAAUGAAUUACAAGAAGAUGAUUGGGAGCAGUCAACAACAACUUGAGAAUGGUGAUGGUGUGGUUAUUGUUUUUCUUUGGGCAUGGGCCAAACCACGCAGAUGGCAUACUAGGACGAGCCUGUGGUAAGUACACCAAGAGUUGACAUUUGUCACUUGCUGCUACCAGGAGGCAAAAAAUGGUGUUCACAAGGCACUCGUAAGAGCAUGAUCAUGUGCUUAAACAAAGCAUUUACCAAAGAAGUAUGCAAUUUUCUGAUGUGGUUGCUUCUUUCAAUAGCCUCUUCCUGUCAUGAUGCUGAUAAGUCCAUAGUCAACACUGUCAUUCCUUUUGUAACAUUUUUAUAAGCUCCCUUCCACUUCAGCAUUAGGAGACUCAGCUCUACGCUCUCCAGGUAUUCCCUCUUGGUUCAUAACGUCUCUCGUCAUUCUCCCGUAAUGGUAAGAAACUGUUCAUUACUUCGGAUCAAACUGUGCCUUUUAGGCUGGUUAUAGCACCGUGAAUGGUACUCCAGUGGCUUAUUUGAUUGAUGAGUUGUAAUAACUGCUUUUGGAUCCCUUUGUUGUGACAAUAGUUCUUCAGCUUCAUCCAUGUAUAAUAAAUAGCCUAACAAACACAUUAUUUCAUUUCUUUAUUAAGUCAUUAAUUACACUGCAAGUUCUUUAACUGCAUCAGAAGAGUUUCUGGAUAAAACCAACUUACUUAUUGUCACCAUUGUUGAAUGCACUACUCUUACAUGGACGACUUAGAUGCAAAUCUAUACAUAACAGAACCUGCCCAACACCAACACAAUCUUUUCACUUAACACUUAUAGUCAAAUCACAUUUUACCUAACCUGGAACCAUGUGUUUGUUUUGGUUAUAGCAAGAUCAAAAUGUUCUUUUAAAUGCCUUCCUCGUGGAUUAAGAGAGAACAUAUGGGCCACACAAUGAAAUAACACAAAAGCUGUAAUUCCUUAAAAAUGGAUGAAUCCCAAGAUUUUCCUGGGUUUCAGUCAGUUUUUUUCCUCUUUGAAAAAAAAAAGUAGAGAAUACAGACAGUACAAACACAGAACAGCUGUUUACAUUUAAACAUAUGCCAUUCAGCUAGUCAAAAAAUUAUUCAGACACCAACAUUUCAAAGGCAUAUUACUGACAUAUGGUAUCUGACAUGUUUCCACAACUGACUACACUGGCUUUGAUGACAACCAUGAAAAUCACAUCUUUCCAUGUGAGCAGUUAGAGAAACAGGCAAAUGAAGACUUAGCUCGGGGUUUUGUAUUCUUACUGAUUCUAAAGGACUGCAAGAACCAAGGUAAGUCUUCUGGCUUUUCAAAACGUAGGCCUCAUUUGCUACAACCAUUGCAUACCCUGUUCCUCACCUCACCAUGAGACCCCACAAACAGCAGAGCAGAACUGCUGCUGCUAUUGAGCUGUUCUCCCAGAGGCAGGCAAAGAGACUCAAUUAGACACAACAGGCUAUUCCCAGGGCUAGUCUCCAAAAUGACAGCUUGAGAUCCUUGGCAUAUGGCUUGCGGUUUCACACACAGUAUAUGCAGGGUUGCUAUUCUGUUAUAGGAAAACUAGGUAUUAAAGCCUAUUGUGGAGCUCAGUCAGGUUAAGACAGGGCUAGAUACUGAAGUAUUCCAGUCCUCUCAGGACCUGAGGAUCUCUCAGUGCAAAAAGGUUCCCGGGUGCUUUGCAGGCCAGAAUCUUAAGCACCAACUUGGAGGCUGACAAGGAAUCCCUCACCCCUCUAACUCAUAUGUGGGUGUAGAAGGGGUAAUUGAGAUUUUUGCUUUAGAAACCACUGCCCAAUUUUGUUUACAUUCUCAGGGGGGCAGUUGCUCAGCUCAGAGCCUAUCAGAGCAACUAUAAAAUAAGCAAAGGCCAUACUGAAAUUUACACAGACACCAGCUGAGAAGGCCAGGCUGUUGACAGACUGCUGUGCCAGCAUAUAUAAAUAAACAAACAAUUCAUUUAAAAAAAACCAAGCAUCUGCAUAAAACAAAAUUAGUGCAAUUGAACUCCCUUUUCCCACCACUUAAUUUGCUUGUCCUAAAUAAGUAUUUUUCUCUAUUAAAUAGUAACAUACUCCUCCACGGGGAUGUGCCUGAGUCUAGCAGUUCAUUCAUCAUUUUGGGUCUCAAACACCAAUCAGCUGAGGAGUGUUUCCCCGUGACUGCACUAAAUUAGGAAAAUUUCCAAAGCAUUAUUCUUUCUCUGGCCAUUUUCAGAGUCUAAUCCAGUACCCUUGCUGGUCCCACUGAUGCCUGGACAAGGCUGGCAGCUCAUAGCUGGCCCACAUCCAAGCACACCGGAGCACAGCAAGCAAGCUGCCCUCCCCCUGUAGGGACAUGAGGACUGUAGCUCAACUCGAGGUGCUGAAGACAGGCAGCACGCUAACUGGCAUUCAGUGUAAAAACACCAACAAUUGCAAUCGAACCUGCAGUUCACUUGUUGUUUUCUGUACUUGAAGUCCCAAGCUUUCUAAGUAAAAAUACUGUUAGCAUGCAUAGAAUUUCCAUGGUUUAGUUUAUCAGCCUAUGUUCUCUCUGGUGUAGAAAAGGAAGAAGAAGGGCCGUAUAUUUUCUUUCAGUCACCAGUUGGUCCUCCUUUAAGGACCUUGUAAGACAUUUUUUUUGUGUAUUGUUUCUCUGCAUAUGUGGGCAGCUUUACUACUUCAUCCCCCUCAGGACCACUUAACAACAUCAGCAAAGCAAUUAAGUGUAGUUUUCAGGAAAAUGCCAGAGGCAUUACACUGUCUGGAUGGGAGUCUCAACCCAAUUAUUUUCAGCUAGUUGUGAACUGUGGAAAGUGGACUUUACUUCAUUAUAACUUCAGUUCCCACUGAUUAAAAGUCUAGUGUGUUACAGACAGUAAGGAAAAAUGAAAACAAUUAAACUUUCCGUCAAUAAAAUGGCUGCAUAUUCUUCAACACAGGGGUUUACUUCUCUCCAGAGAAGUGAUUAAAAUGAACUGAUUGAACUAUAAUUUGAUUGACUGAAGAGCCUCGAUCCAUUGCACUAAAGCUUAAAUUCCAUCUUAUUGCUCUAUUUAACUCUGAAUAUAAAAAAAAAUUACUGGCAGUCUCACAAACCUUACACAGUCAUCCAGUUGAAAUUUCGUGCUACUCACAGGCUGUGGUGGAUUCUGUUCCUUCUCUGCAUGAUUCACAACAGGCUGAUGUUGAAGAGUGGCAAAGACACCUAAGAAAUGACAUUAAUAUAGCUUUAAAAUCGUGUACCUAUCACAGUCAUUUGGGGAUUCUAAACUCAACCAGAGAUAGAGUUGAUCCAAGACCACGAAAGAGAAUAAUGUUCAGGUUGUAUACAACUGUUGCAGCAAGAAAAUAACCUCCUCAUGAAAACCACAGCCACGAUGUAGCUUCCCACCACAGGUCUGCCUUCAGCAAGGUGUGAGGUUGCCAGAUGCACAGGUUUGCAUGCACACAAACAUACAUACGCCUCUUUCCUUCAAGGAGAUACUAAAGAAAGAGGCACAUUUAGCCUGGUUUCAAUGGUAAAUUGUGCUGGCUAAGAAUCAAGAUGCCAAGGUUCCCAGGCAAACAUCGUUUUCUUUGGACUUGGGGCAAAUUUCUACAGAGUGCUUAUUCUACAAGACUAUCAUCUCUACAGAUGAGUAACUGUCCUGCCAAAUUCUGGGACUCCUGUUGCACUAACAAAAGCUAGUCAAGAAACAUUAAGACAUGCAUGCUUUCAUUGACAAGCUACUAUGAUACAGAAAAUACCCAACUUUGCAUUCACCCCUCUGAAAAUUUAAUUGAAAUGACAUUCCCCUUUAGAAGGUUGCCACUUUAUUGUUUGACAUUUUAUUUCUCUAUUUCCACUUAGUAUUUUGAACUAAACACAGCAUUUGAAAUACAGCUGUACUGCAGUAGAAUUGAAUUGGAAUAUAUUAUAGCUUUAAAUUAAAUUAUGUUGGUAAUUAAUUGAAUGAGGCUGAGCAAGAUGGGAAAAUAAAGGUGGGCAACAAGCUCUGGGUUAAAUUCUUAACAUGCUUCCUUUCACAGGCAGCUCAAACUCCAAAGGAAGUCAAUAGGUACUUUUCCAUUAACAUCACCAUGAACUGAGACAUGUGAUCCUUGAGCUGUAGUAUUUGUUACUGAGCUCAGUCUGCUGUUGAGCUUUCCACAUCUGGCUGUGACAGACCUACAAUGCUAGCUUCACAAGCAAGCCGUAGAUCUAAUGCAAACAGCUCCAACCCUUAGAUACUGCCAAUCCCAGCCCUACAGGAAUUCUGACCACACUCAAGGGUUACUAAUUCACUAUGUUGUUUGGUUUUAUUGCUUAAGCAUAGUUCAUAUCACAAACAGGAAAUUCUCCAUAUUUGUUAGCCAAAAGCUACCAAGACUGUACUGGAGUCACUAAGGGAAUAUUGCUGCACUAAGGUAGAAUGCAGCCUCUGUCUAACUUAGAAGGUACACCUUCGGCAAAUUAUGUAACUUACCUCUUAAUAACUGCCUUGCAUUGCUGGCCUCUUCUUUUGUUUCUCCCUUCGUUUUGAUUACCAAAUACUGUGUUCUUCUCUACUUCACCUCAGUAUCUGUAACUCCAAAUGACAGAUACGCCAUAACAGAAAAGGAGACAAGGGCAAACACUCAACCAGAAAUUCCUAGGUGCCUCUGGAGACUGCAGGAUGUUCGCUACAUUCCCUGUUCCCAGUUUUAUGUUGCACACACCAGAGGUACAUACAGGACCAAACAGCCUAAAUGCCUAUUUGAACCUUUCAGUUCUUACAUAGACAGAUAUAUUCUCGCAAUUACAAACCCACCUUUGUCUGCAUAACAGCCUCAGAAGAAGGAGCUGUGUUUGAAGUCAUUUAUAUUUUAUUUUCGUGCAGAACAAGAAACAUAUUUGACAGCAAAAAGACAAGCCCCAAGAGUGAAAGUAGCCUCAAGACUUCUCUUAUUCUGAAAUUAGACAGUGGCAUUUAUUUGUCUUUCAUAGUGCUCCUACAGCCAUGGCAGCAAACAGCGCAUGGAAGGGUUUCUUACCGUGCUGACAGAAUGGUCAUGAGUAAGCUGAGCAGUGUGCAAACAGUGUCGAGAUGAGGGCAGGCCAGGGCCUUCUUCCAAGUCCUACCUGUGGGAGGCAGAUGAGGGACAACAGGCAUUUCCUGACUCAAGCAAUUGCUUAAUAUAUCCCCCUCCCUGAAAAGCAUCAGCAACUGUUUGGACAGGAACUGCCAACACUUCCACCAGAUCGCACUGGACAUCAGGGAAAAAAAAAAAAGAAUGGGUCCAAUGGGGUCGAUACACUUUCUGCAUGUGUGGGAUCAGCAUUUUCUCUUUUCAAAAUCAAGUUGAUUUCAAAAAUCUGUAACUAGGAAAAUAUAUUAAAAAUGCAUUAGCCCGUAGAUUAAUGUUUGAAAGAUACCAUUUUAAUUACAGAGAGGUCAUAAUUCUCAGCUUUUGAGAAAAGGUGAUUAGUGCAAUUUCUUCAUUGAGUUAUAGUUUCACUACUUAAGAAAACAUUAUUUAAAGGGCAGAGUGUUAGCCAUUUACGCCACACUGAUGAGAAUCCCAACAAAACAUAAGCAAACACUUGAAUACACUCUUCCUAGCAACCAAGGCUUUCAUCAGAAAAGCAGCAUAUUUUUUGUUGGUUUUUGUGUGGUUUUUUUUCCCUGAACAUUAUAUUGAGCCCAAUUUCUAGCUUGCAAUCCUUCAGCCAUCCAGUAUUCAUCAAAUCCCUGGAAUAGAGUUUUCGGUGAAGAUGUAAGCCAUUGACAAAGCCACCUCCCUGUUCAUGUGCUAAAAAAAUUAAUUGAACUUUUAUUUUUUCAAAAUCCAUAUCUGAAUGCUUGUGUCACCACUACUUCUGUGUGCCACUAUGGCAGGGAGGCCAUAUUUUCAGAAUUCUGUGCAUCCCUGACUUCCACUAACAGAAAUACUGGGAGGUUAAUUUUCACUAUUAAUCUUCUUCACAUGCACCGACCUGCUGUGUGACUUCCUUAAAUUAACAGCAGCAUUUUAAGAAAUGCUGAAUUUCUACAAUUCUGACUGAGUAGAAAAUAGAGAUAUCGAAUACUUCCCUGGACUUUGGUCCGUCUUUACAGGCUGGGAUAGCUUUGAUGUUACUCAAGGAAUGGUUGUUUUGGAUCUCUGAAGUACUUCACUGGAUGCUGGAGAUCCAAUAAAACAAAACAAAAAACCCAAACCAGAGCUUUUAAGUUAAAUAUUAAGUAAAAAUAAGUGUACGUUGGUAAAGAAAAACAAAGACAUUUUGAAAGGGUUUUUCCACCAGGCAGUACCACUUAUUCCAUGAUAUAUCACCUCUUUUCUCCUAAGAAAAGAACUGUUUCAAACAGAAUUUUCUGCUUCCGUAUAUUCCUUCUUUUCUUACCUGAGGGUUUUUACUCCUUUCUUUCUUUCUUGUAGGAAGGAGACCAAUGGUUUUGUUGCCAACUCUUCGAGAAGAUCAGAGGAGCGACUGGGAAAUCUGUCUUCCAUGGAAAAGAGGAAAGAUGCUAAGGGACAGGAUGUACCCUCCUUGACAGUGUGGUCAAACAGCCAGCUUCCUCACUUGUCCCUAAAGAGCUCUCAGACAACUGUCUAGAAAAGUGCACAGUAUCCCCAGCUGUUAACAGCAGGAUAUACUGCAGCACUCCAGACUGCUGCUGCCAUGUCGUUUCAGUGCCUCCGGGGUCAGCUCAGUGUAUUAAAUUAACAGUUUUCCCAGGCAAUGCAAAAUGUCUGUGAACAGAAUGGUGCAGCAUAAUAAUGGGAUACAAGGGGAAGAUACCUGCUUAAAUAUGAAAUGUUUUGGUAAGAGCAGGAGAUGUUGAAGUGGUUCUGACUUACAUGACUUAGUGCCAAACACACGUUGUCACGCAGCAGUCCCAGCACGCUGUGUCUGUUCACCACCACUUCACAUUUUCAUAGCUUAUUUUAGAACAGUUGCAUUUUUUUUUCCAUCCUUAAUAAUUUAUGAGCUUAGAAUUAUCGAUAACGUGAAGCUUCAUUAUAAACUAUCAGGAGGAUUCUCAUCUGACUCGUCCCAUUAAAUUAUUAUUCCCAAACAUGAUUUAUAUUUAAUAAGACAUCAAUUGAACAUCAGUAAAAAUAAUAAUUAUGAACUAUAUCUUCAUAGAAAUACCAAUAGCUUAAAGACAAGCAAAUGCUGUGUACGGUCUGCAGGUCAGCUGUCAAACCUCUCUGAGAAUAUUUGUCUGUUUAGUAUUUAGAAUAUGAUAGUAAACCACAAAGAUAUAUUGCUGUGGUCUUCAGCUGAUUCUUGUGACAACUGUGGACCACGCCAAACCAUGAACCUGUAAGGCAGAACUGGGAAGUAACAAAGUGUUCUGUGUAGGUGAGGAGGUAAUCUCAAAACACUACAAAUGCCCAAGCAACUUCACGUUUCCACAAACAAAAUGUCAGAAGAAUUUUGGUUUGGGUAAUUUUUUUCUUUAACAUGAUCUACUGGAUUGAAAUGCUCUAUUUCUCCAUACAGAAAGUCAAAAUAAACAAUUUUACUGAUUGAAACUUCUGCCUAAAAACACAUUAAAAUAGCCUAAAGUUCAACAGUGUCAUUUGAGUCUUCUGUUCUAACAAACUAUUGCUCCACAGGACAAACUUCAUCAAAUAUUUGUAUUCAGAAAGAAGUGACAUUACUUCAUCCCAGGGAAUUGCAGCAAAGGCCCUUAAUCCUACUGCACCUUAUAGCAUUGCAGUAGUGGUUAUCACUCAUCAGGGACCACUUCUGUUUACAUUUCCUCAGCUUACACACAUCCCACAUGAGUCUUAAUGGAGGAGGAGAAAGGACAGGAGAAAAAGUUUUUCUGGAUUUUCUUCUUCAUUUCUAGUUUUUAUUUCUUACUUUCCUGUUCUGUUCAAAUUUCAUCAGGGAUGGAACAAAAGCUUCAGAUGGACAAGGUGACCACAUUGUCAGUAUCACACUUACCUUUGUCCAGGUUCAUUGGGAAGGAUUUACUCCCUGCUCCCUCAGACCCUCACUUAUGUAGGAUUUACACAAGGGCAGUGAUUGCACGUUCUGGAAGAAAGCCAAAAGACGUUACUGUCCUUCAGUGACAGCUUGAUGGUUUUUAAUAUUCGUUGGAUCUCCUUUUCAUCCACUGCACAUGCCUUUUUUAACUGCUCACGUCCACUAUUUGGCUUCUCCAUUACACAACCAAGGAUUAUAAGGGCAGCUGUCCUCUAAUGUAAAACACGAGUUGACACAAACAUUGCAGUCUCUUUAAAACUUUAAAGCCCCUUGAGCUUGAGAUAUUUACAGCUCUACAGAGAUGUGCUAUUCAAACCCCAGCAAAGAAAGGUUUCAGUUUAACUUUCUUAAAACAUUAAGAGCUGAUGGAACCAUAAAGACAUUCUGGUCUGACCUCCUACAUCGUGUUUUUACUCAGUCACUUCCAUCUCGAUCCCCCGAACAUACUGAGACAAAUACACCUUUCUGAAAGGCUUGAUAUCUUAAUCUGCACCUGAAAAAUCUAUUACUCUACCACCAGUUCACACUAGCAUUAUUACCUCACACUCCAAAGCACAAUUGAGAAGCCCAGUUUUGUCACUCCCACCCCCAGCCAAUGAUUUUUACCUUUUCUCUGCUGCUCAGUGCUUUGGUAUUCCCUAUCUUGGUGCCAUGAGGGAGCUAGACACAUCGGAGGUUGUAGCAUUUCUGCCACCCAGAAACAUGCAAGCAAUAGCAUGCAUACAUGACAUCUCUAGUAUGUCUUCUUACCUUGAAGGACUCACCAGAAUCCAGAGCCAAGUAUAUGUGCUGUGCUCUCCUCCUGACCUGGUCCAAGUCCAUUCCUUCCUGAGACACUCUCACAGGGAAAUGAUGAAAAGUUUAACAUGGAAAGAACAUGUCUGUAGCUUUGAGGGACAGCUCUAUUUUUAAAGCAACGAGCUCACCACAUAUUCCAUUUUCUCUCACUUAAUCACACAACUUUUAAAAUAAUAAUUUUUUUUUCUAAACACAUCCAUUCUGGACUAGUUUCACCACCCUCAUUCGACAAAAUGCACGCUAAUUUUAAUGGUAUUCAUUCUUACUCAAGAAAAACAUCCACCUUUGGUUUCUGAGCCUUCUUUACAACAGAUUUGGCGAAAGUCAAAAUAAACAACAUCCAGCAAUUCACCUUUAGGUAGUGCAAAAACAGUCCCCAGAGUGACAGCUUUCAGUUCAUCUCCAGUGAGAGCUGUAUAAGCCGUAAGCUCUUCUAUAAACACAGCAAUGAAUAACGAUCAGUCUCUUACUCCUCUCAGUCUCUCGUGUGACAGACCCUUAAUUAUGGCUAUUAGAUUAUUAUUUUCUCCAGAGAAUCCUAUAAGGCAAAAGCAGUGUUCUUCUCUGGACAUCAAAGACAGAAUUAAGACACUGCUUAGGAAAGCUCCUCAGAAACAGCAGCUGUUCAUCCCCACUAAGGAAUGCCCUAUUUGAGACAGAGCGCGCAGCUGCAGCUUCACUGCCUGCUCUGUAUGAGGCACCCUGCAAAAACUGAUGCUCCGCUUUGAAGGGAAAGAUGCCCACCUAAAACACAGGGCAGCCCACCUCCUGCUAAGCUCUGAAAAACUAUUCAGAUUUCUGUUACCUUAGACCUCUGUAUCCUACAAAGAUCACCCAUUCUCAAUAAGUCCUGGACCAGUGAGGCUUGCAACACAACAGUACAAAAGCAGUAGCACAAAUUAUGACUGUGUAACAGAAAAGUGAACUAGAAUCCACCCACCUAAGGCACUGUACCACCAGCAUCUGUUACUGCACAUAUCUUUUUAUGUGUAACAUUUAUUGGCAUCCUUCGGGAUAACUCUGCAUGCUCCUACAGUCAACUAGGAAGAAUGUCUGUCCCCCAAGAGAGAACAACAGGCCAGAAUCAAGACUCAGGCUGACUCCAAGCAACAAAUGAUUCCUGAACACUUUAUACAUAGGUAACACGAAUCAAUUCUUAAAUAGUCAUUACUAGAAAACUAAUGUAACUGCCUCUCAAGAGAAUUACUGCUUAAUACUAUUAUCUUCUGUGGGCAUGUAAAGCAAGAUAAGUAUAUAGAGCAGGUGAGAAUAUAUAUAUUAUGAUAACUUAUGUGGUUUAGGCUUGUUUUGGAAUACUGUAGCAACUUAUUGCUAGCCAACAUCUUACAUCAGUAAGAAUGUAAAAAGUAAUGUCUGGCAAUUUAUGAGUUCUUAAUAAAGCACAGUGUUUAGAAGAUUAACUGUUGAAGCUGUUCUUGAUUUUGAUUCAGCUGAUUUUUGUCUGGGCUCAGCACUAUGGCUUAUCCCUGUUUCCCUGGCUCCUUCAGGGUCUGACAGUUCCAAAUUCUUACUUGAUUGGACUUAAAAAAUAAAUAAAUAAAAAUUAGGAACUGCUUAAGCAGCACUGCCCCUAUCCGUCCCCAGCCCAGGUGUGAAAUUAACAUUGGUUCAAAACACUGGAAAUUCACACAUGCACACUUAAAGCACAGGUUCCAGGAUGGACAUUGCACCACCUGUGAAUUCCCCAACCUAAAUGCAUACUGUCACUCACUUAAGUGAAACCCAAGUAGCCUGUAUGUGCCAAGCAGGUGAAGUAUUUUCAUAUAAACACGUUUGUAGAGGUAGGUUCUUUCAGAGUUUCACAGACACGUGGUUACUAAGCACAAGAUAAGUAAAUUUAAAACAACUCUGCCAAAAAUUAAACUGGUUCCACACCUAUAAUAAUUACUUUGAUGCUUCUGAGGCAUGACUGCAUUUGAAGCAGAAUAUAUUAUACCACACAUCACAAUUGUCCAGAGCUGUCAUAAGCCAUUAAGAUAUACAAAGUCACGAUCCUCAGUUACACCCUUAGACAAUGGGUAACACUUCUUUGUGAAUGCUUCUCUGUCCAAGUAUCUCUUGCUUGAAUGCAUCAGAUGCUCUGUGAGAUACAUCCCUCAGCUGUGGCAGCUCAGCACCUUUCCACCAAUUUAAGUCAGCUGAUUGGGAUUGCUAAAGAUAGCUCUCAUGUCAUUCUGAGCUCUCAAAAGUGUUCUGAAAUGGGACAUUUAAACUAUUUACCACAAUUCUCAUUGCAGUUUAAAAGCUGCACAAUGUUUUUGAAGCUUUGUGAUUCCAGAAAUCCAGUGUCUAAAUGAAGGUCUGCUGGGAAAAAAAAAAAAUAGCUGAUUUGUCACAAAAAAAUCAAUCUUCCACUGCCCAAUUCCGUUCUUAAUGAAUGAGACAAUUCAGAAACCUAUGGGAACAUGCUUUAUUGAUUCAUUCACAAGUCACUCAAACCCACUGCCUCGGUUCCCUCCGAUAAGACAAACCGCACAGCGCUCCCGGUGUACUGAAUUGCAGGAAAAGCCAAUGACUCCACAGCUGUUCUGCUGGAAGUCCAGUGAGACUAAACACAGCCAAUAAAUCUAAACGCAGCACACCACUAGGUUAAUGAUAAAUGUGUGUAGAAGACAAAGAGACUUGCAUUUCCUCUUUAUUAUCCCUUCAGUUGAGCCACUGCCUUAUCUGUAAUUUAUUUACCCAGGACAGUUGGGCCCAGAUGCGUACCUGUUUUUCCACUGAAGUACUUGUUUUUCUCCAUUUUGCAGAUGGAUUAAAUAAGCCAGGAGGAGGCCAACCUACAUGUGUGAGGUCACACAGAGAACUGUAAUCUACACUGCAGUAGAUGCCUGAAUCCAUUCAAGUUCAAGACCUAAUUUGGCAUAAAGCUAGUGUGUAGCUGUACUGCACUGUAUAUUUUAUAAACAUAUCUUUCAAUAAUCUCCUGUGCUUCUCAUGAAAGCAAUAACAAGCAGUAAGAACAGCUGAGUCUGUAUUGGGCAAGCUUUCCUAUUAAAUUCCAGCAAUACAUCUCAGCUGUGACCUGUAGCAAUUUGGGUAACCUAAUAAGGCUGACUGUCCCAUAAGAACCAGGGAUGAUACGCUGUCUACCCGCGAGAUAUGAGGAAGUACAAGAGAGCAACUUUACAGCAAGUAUCACCUAGCAGAGCAAAAGUGAACCUAAAAAACAGAUCUAAGAAAAUACAGUAAGAGACAACACAUAUGUGAGAAUAGACCAUUUGUUUAUAUAGUCCAAUAGAUACUUACCACCAUUUCAACAUUCGUUUCCAACUCAAAACAUCACAUCUGCAUGUCCUGUUUAACAGAGUAUGCUACAUGGGGAUGUCAUGAAGGACCUUCUGGUAACUACAGUUAGUACAACUACUCCAGUGCACGUUACCUGAAGUUGGGCAUUCUGUCAGAUCCGCCCACUUUUCCUAGAAAUCCAAAAGGUCCUCUGCCUUACGAUGCAAUAACAUUUAAAGGACUGCUCUUAAAAUCAUUCUAAUAUAUAUGCUACCUUUACACGUGCAUUUAAUAAGCGGGCACAGAUCCAGUCAGGCAUACGCAAGUCUCUACUUCAAAACUCACCUCUUCAGCUGUAUUAUGAUUUCCAUCCCCUAGUAGUUCUAGUACAAACUUUUGCACAGAAUGGCUUCAGAAAGUGGUCUCUGCUCUCAUGUAUCUGCUGGAUAUAUAAAGCAACAAGCAAUUUAGUGGUGUACAGGAGAAUUAAACAUUUUUUAUGCACUUCGAUGUUUCCCCUAAUUCUGAAAAUCAACCAAAACCUUCAACAUAAAAAUCACUUUUCCUUUAGAGAUGUCUCUCAGCAGGGCGGUGCUCACAGCCACAUUGUCACUGUGUGUUCAAAGCCGUCAGCACUCAACGUGCUAAGAAGCGACACUGAAUUCUGCAAUCAGAAGCACAAAGUUUCAAAAAGAUUUCAGAAUCUAUGUGAAUAUAAAUAGCUGCACUGAAUGCUUCAAAGGCCGAAAACGUCGUAGAGAUUUACGCUUCAGUCUGUUUUGACAGAUAAACAGACAAAAACAUAUUUCGUAAAGGAGCAAUAAGACUUCCACUGUAACACUUCCCAUAAUUAGACCGUAAGAGACACUGAAAUACUUACAUUCACUGUAUAGAAGGCUUAUGUCUCACUUCUGCUUACUACUUGAGCUCCUGAAAAGCACCCAAUUGUCUAACCUUAACAUGUAUUAACGUGAGCCCCAAGCUUUCUGCACAUGUUCAUACCCACCAUUUAUACCAUCAUCUUCCCCACCCUGCUGACUUCUUAUUGUUUAGUGGAAAUAUUCACAUUUUCCAAAGGUUUUUUUUUUCUUCUGAAGCAGAACCUGAUGUUGCUUAAUGCUCAGUGUUAAGCAUUAAUACACACAUCAAACUAAAAACGUUGAUAAAACCUUCCACUGGAAGGAAAUGCAAUUGGAAAGAUGCUUUUUCUAACGGCGCUUCCUGUCCUUCGCUCCAAAUGACUGAAGAUCUUUUUAUUGUUCUGUGUUCUCUCUUUAGUGUGGCACGAUUUGAGUUCCAAAUCCCCCAAGAGUUCUGUGACCAACCUCCUGUGAGUUUCUGGGAUGUAAAGGUCAGAGCUGAAGACGGCAUGGACAGAGUGUACAGAAGAAAAGUCUCAGAACCUCUUGCUUCAAAUCCAUCACUUUCAGAGAGAAAAAACAGACAGCAAAGCACUCCUCUUUUGGAGGCAAAUCAGCCAUGGUGGGAACCUCUCAAACAACUGAGAACAACUGAAAACGGGCACUCCUGAAAUCAAGGAGAGAGGAUGGCUUUCCCAGAGAACUUCUGCACGGAGAUCUGGCUUCUGAAUUUCUUGGAUUCCUUAAAUGAAAAUCUUACACUGGGAAUUCCAAACAAUACAGCCUGUAACGUUUGGCUAGCAUACAGCACUCAGUGCAACCCCCCGGGCCGUGUUCCUGGACUCAUCCCAUCCCCACACUACAAAGAUGUCUUUCCUCAGCCAGCUCUGCUGCCAGCCAAGUUCCUGACAAGGUGUUGGUGCUUGGUCUGAACAUUGGUUAAUCUUCCCCAUGCUGGCUGGCUCCGUUGGUCUUAAAGAAGCACCAUCCAAUCUCAAUCCCAGUGUUCCUUAACUGCUUCAUUCCCUUUCACAUUUUCUAUUUUUUAUAAUCACUUCUUAGGAACAACUGUAAUACUACUAGCUAGUGGAACAGGUGUCGUUACUAAUAAAGCCUGUAAGAAGGAAAACCAGUGUCCCACCAAACAUAUGUAGAGGAUGCACCUUCCAACAUUAAAGCUCUGAUUUGCAACCUGAAAGAAUUCUCUACUGCUUUUGUACAACGUGCUUAAGUUUUACCUUAUUUGUUGUUGUUGUCUGCUAAUCAAGGUCUUCCAUGGUACAAAUGUGAUCACCAUUAUGCUAAUCGCUGCAUUAGACAUGCAAAUAUAUAAACAUUUGUGUGCCAAAUCAUUAAGUUUUUGUCUAUAGUGUUAUGCCCCUAUUUACUAUCUAUAUUUUAUGUCUUAUGGAUUUCCAAACAUUUAAAUUUAUAUCAGUGCUGUCACAUAUCUGCAAGCAGAGACAGUUUUAUGAGCACUAAAAAAGCUGCAACACACAGCCACUAAAUACUAAUGACAUAAAUGGUAUCCACUAAUGGUCUCUAUUUUUAUUACAAUGCAAAACUUCAAUAUAUUGCAAUUACCACCACUCUCAGACUGAGCCAUACACGGCAUAUAAUGCCAGCUUCCAUCUCCACAGCAUAAAAUGGCAUUAUUUGUUGCAUAUAGUUCAGCCCUGUAUUGCAGAUGUUGACUGAACGCUCAAGUCAGCAGUUGCAGCUAAAAUUCACUCUAUUUACAGAGUCUCACUGUUAACUAAUACCCUAAAUUGUCAGAUAUGCCAAUGCAUUAGACAUUUUUCAAAGCCUACUGCACUAAUAGCAUGUAAGCGUAGCACGUCUUGUUGUACCUGUCAGCAGCCCAGUAACUUUGCAAAGGUAAAACAUGUCAAAGAAUGAAAUUAUCUUCCUAUGCUUCUGUCUUUAAAAAUCUUCAGCGAGAGAUUUUUUUCAGAAUAUUCCAAUACAAAAGUGCACUUGACAAAGCUUAUUCUCUUGUAAAUGAGUCUCUGUUUUAGCUUUUUAAUGAUAAAUGUUACAGUCUUUGUUCAUAAUUAGAAGAGUUUCUCCUUUUGCAGCAGCUUUCAAAGAGAGAAAAAUUUGUUCUUCAGACUUCAAGACAGUGGAAACCACACCUCAAUGUCAUCCAUAAAACUGGGUGAAAAAGGAACGUGGCAAAAUCUCUUACAAAUGGUUGGGAGGAAACAAAUCUCAUUUCAUCUACACAUUUUACUUGCCAGAAAUUUUCACCAAAAUGGAGUGCUAAGUUCAUUUCUCAGGCCUUCUCGUACCUGUUUAUCUGACACAAAACAAGCCUACUUACUCCUUUCCAUUGACUUCAGCUGAGAAUAACCUCCAGAAGGCUGGAAAUUUGUUUGAAGCAGCAGACAUUCCUCCUAUUUCCAUGCAGCUGGGUACUCUUUUACACAAGGAAAACACCGGAGACAAAGUAGGUGUCAGACUUGGUAGCAUUUUACAUGCAUUUUCUGACACAAAGCAGACAACAGAAACGUGCACACAAAAUAUUUCCCUUCAAGGACCAGCCAGAGAGAACAACAAAACCCAGUAAAAGACAUCAGUGUAGUUAUUAUAGUUACCAUAUAUUUCCAAAUGAUGCUUGCCUUUAAAAAUGCAAUGGAAUUAUUACUGUUAACUUUAACCAUGAUAAACCACUCCACUGGAAGUUAGUAUUUUCCUAAAGUGUUCUCACUGGGCUUGCAUAAAUCUAAGCAUACAUGGCUGACUAUGGAAGGAUGAAUGAUGCAAAAUCUAUAAAAUAAUAAUACCUAGAGCUUACAACUGAGAAUACUGAUACGGUAUUCCCUAUUUUUCCCAUCAUAUUUUCACUGGCAAUAGUAUUGAAUAUGACAAGUGCUUUCUAAUGUAAUCUGAACCCACCUCAGUGCUCUAAUCUUUAGACCGAAUGGGUUCCUAUCAAUGAUCCCAGUUAACUGCCUCUGUUCUGCACUUACAACAAUAAAAAGUUCCAACUGAAAGUUCAGUGACAGUUUAAUUUCAGAAAACAGGAUUUCUCAAAAGAGCAAAUACGUUGAUUUAAGUGAUUGGAUGAAAAUACAGUUUUUCAGUAUAAGUAUAUACAUACUUUAAUUCAUUUUCUCAACCAGAAUUGAAAAUUAUGGCUCAUUUUCUCAAUUCCAAAUGUCGGUUCUCUUCAUUUGUAAUCCUCCCAACGUACCGUAGAAGUUGAAACAGCCUGAUUGACUUCAGUAACAUCAAAAUGGAGAAUUUAAGUAUGUGAAAAGCAUUUCAUUUUCUAAUGAAUUCUUGCUUUCUCUUAAGGAAAUUGCUGGGUAAAUAUAACCCAUUUUGAGGUGUAUUUUUGGACAUUAUAAAAUGCUGUCUUUCACAGACUCUGUUGUUCACUGAAGUUCUUCCUCCUUGCUUAACAAUUACUUUGCACAAAAGGAGAAAGCUCUUUUAUGAACACCAUGGACAAAAUCUGAAGCAUACCAGCUUGAAAGAAAACGUUGACUUUAAGUUUCUAAUUUAAUGCCUCCCAUAGAAAAGCAAUAGACCACAGAUCUGCUAAUGCCAAACCAACAGGAGCCUUACCCACUUUUUUGUUGCUUUCUAUUUUUCCCCCCUUAAGUUGGAGUUCACAGGUUUGCCAGUACAGCUCUCCAUGCAGCAAGGCCUGGAGCCAUCCCCCCAUUAGGGAACAUGGCACUUGGAUCCCUCGCUCUCCACCUGGCUGCACACAGUGCUCCUUUGCUGAAAUGACGACAAAGAACCUACAGAAACCAACAAGAGCCCUUCUUACACUUCACUGGAUGGUCAAUCGAGGCCAACAUGAAAAGCCUCUUGCCUCUCUCUCCCUUACUUGCCUCGAAUACUGGGCUACAGAUCGUUUUCUUUUCACGUGUAAAGGCAUCAACUACCUGAAGAAGUGCAUUCUAGGGAAGUCAGUUGCCCACAUUCACAUGCCCUCCAAAGGCAAUGUAGAAUAUUUACACUUCAGGGAACAGCUUCUAAGGUUUCUCCUUCUUAACACAAUUCAAUAGAACAGCUAUACUAUAAUGUCUGGAAGGUUUAGACUUUUGUCUUGUAACCCUGCAGAUGAAUAGCUCCAACCAUUGAAAGAAAUUGCAGUAUGAACGUCUGUUUUAUUCCAGAGUUGUGUCUGAGCAGACUAUUAGCAGAAUACUGAUAAAUGCUACAAUAGCUAUUCUUUUUCCUCCCCUUCUGCUUUUAUGCCACUGCCAAUACCUGUCCUUCCCUGGUGCUUUCAGCUGAUGCCUGUCUCAUAACUCUCCAGCUAACAGCAUUAGAAGAAAAAGAAAUUAAGCUCGAAUAAAACUGCCAGGUAGAAUUCAACAUUAUGAGAUUAUGGACCAAACUGUUUUCUGAAGCAGGCACAUAUAUGCACAGCUACACCACUAAUGACCUACAAAGGACUUACAUGUCAAAAGUUAAUCAUUAUAAGACUAUUUUUCUUUUUUAAGGAUAAACAUACUGAAGCUGAUUAUUUUUCCUCUUCUGGUACUUCUAUGGUGUUCAAUGGCAAGCAAUAAUUAACUUUGUUUUCUCUAUACCUUUUCUGAGGUCCAUGUUUGUAGCAUCCUACACUGCACCACGUCUGCAUACAGUCAACGGGUAUGGUCAAAUCAUGCAAAACAUGCAUGUGGUCAGCAGGAUGUUUAAGCAGGCAGCCUUGGGCACACAGCUACAUCUGCACAAUUCUAAAUGCUUGCACUUUUGUAGUAAGUUCGCAAACAUAAGGAGCUGCUAUAGCACAACUGUCCCGUGAGUAACAAUAAAUCACUGAAGUGAUGGAGAAGAACACUCAGUAUAAAGACUACAUCAUAUUUAUGAAGAAAUUCAAAAUGUAAUUGCAAGCCAUGCAAGUAAGAAAAGAUGAGUACUCGGUUGUAAUGCCAACUUAAAAUAGCAGUAUAGAAUUGUUUAUGUGCCUUUGUGAAACAAAUGGGUGAAGCCUAACACAUCACAGGAAAGUUACUCGUGCUAUAAUUUAUGCCAUAUAUUCAUCUUCAAACCACAGCCAUGUAUUUCUCCGCAGCAACUGCUAUCACCAUCAGAAACAAUCAGCGCCUUAAACGGCUCUUUCAAGGCAGCCGAACAACAAAGUGUCACAGAGAAGAAAUAAGGUUCUUGCUCCCAGAAGUAACAUCAUUUGAGAGUUUAAAGGAAGCACCUAUAUUCCAGAGCAGCUCAUAAGGCUGUAACUCAUGUUCCGUUUUAGUAAAAAAAUAUGUAGUUUGUAUUGCUCUUACAGAAUUAGGGUUAGUAAAAAUAAUGCAUGUAAUGAGAGAAACAAAAAUCUUUUUCAUCAUAGAAAUCUAAAUAUAUUUGGGAAGGAUCAGAAACUUCUAGAUAUUUGUCCAAUCCAACACAGCAACAUUUUGUUUGGAAGGCUCUCACGUGGCCAUAGUGACCAUAACAGGUCUACUGGGUAAUAAGUUGACUUGCAAAAUGGAACGUAUGAAUAACCAAUGUUUGCUCAUUACCGAAAGCAGCACCGGCAGAAUGGUGAAGAUGAGCAAUGUUGGGAAAAUGUUGUAAUAAAAUUAACAGCAGAACUCUGAGUACAGGGUGUGUGAAUGGAGGUGCUGAGCAGGAGACCCAAGGAGAAGAUGGAGUACGUGGCAAUUUCUAAGCACACUGAGAACACUAAGUCAGCUGUGGCUCUGUUGGUUGGAAGCCUGGGCACCAACAGACCUCAGAGGAAAUCCCACGUAUCGGCCCACCAAAAGAAAUCCGACCAGUGGGGAUUUCAGUACACAAAGGGCUGUAAUAGCAUUAAAAUGCUAUUACAAGACUGAAGAAGAACUAGCAGUGCUAAUGGCUGAAUGUCAGCGAACGCCAGAAGCGCUGGAAAUUAGAAGGGUGCAGUAGUUGUAGUGAAGCAGAUAUCAAGAGAUGAAAGGAAAUCCAAGCAGACCCGGGAAGGCAGAGAGAACUGACAAAUAUACAUAAAGCAGCGGCUGAUGGAAAAAUGGGAGUGGCUGUGAGGACAGAAGAAAUAAGAACAUUUAUCAGGUGAUUUAUAUAAGGUGAUUUGGAAAUAUGUCCUGAUAUCCAUAAAAAGCAAGGAUUUCUCUUCAACUAUUUUC
ensembl:lncRNA